GACGAACGCUGGCGGCGUGCUUAACACAUGCAAGUCGAACGGUGAAGCGCCUUCCUUUUUGGUGGGCGUGGAUGAGUGGCGAACGGGUGAGUAACACGUGAGUAACCUGCCCCCUCUUCUGGAUAACCGCAUGAAAGUGUGGCUAAUACGGGAUAUUCUGGGUCUGUCGCAUGAUGGGUCUGGGAAAGAUAUUGUUUCGGUGGGGGAUGGGCUCGCGGCCUAUCAGCUUGUUGGUGGGGUGAUGGCCUACCAAGGCGGUGACGGGUAGCCGGCCUGAGAGGGUGGACGGUCACACUGGGACUGAGACACGGCCCAGACUCCUACGGGAGGCAGCAGUGGGGAAUAUUGCACAAUGGGCGCAAGCCUGAUGCAGCGACGCCGCGUGAGGGAUGGAGGCCUUCGGGUUGUGAACCUCUUUCGCCAGUGAAGCAGGCCUGCCUCGUUUGUGGGUGGGUUGACGGUAGCUGGAUAAGAAGCGCCGGCUAACUACGUG
rnacentral:rRNA from 1 species